GACGAACGCUGGCGGCGUGCUUAACACAUGCAAGUCGAACGGAAAGGCCCUGCUUUUGUGGGGUGCUCGAGUGGCGAACGGGUGAGUAACACGUGAGUAACCUGCCCUUGACUUUGGGAUAACUUCAGGAAACUGGGGCUAAUACCGGAUAGGAGCUCCUGCUGCAUGGUGGGGGUUGGAAAGUUUCGGCGGUUGGGGAUGGACUCGCGGCUUAUCAGCUUGUUGGGGGGGUAGUGGCUUACCAAGGCUUUGACGGGUAGCCGGCCUGGGAGGGUGACCGGCCACAUUGGGACUGAGGUACGGCCCAGACUCCUACGGGAGGCAGCAGUGGGGAAUAUUGCACAAUGGGCGGAAGCCUGAUGCAGCAACGCCGCGUGCGGGAUGACGGCCUUCGGGUUGUAAACCGCUUUCGCCUGUGACGAAGCGUGAGUGACGGUAAUGGGUAAAGAAGCACCGGCUAACUACGUG
rnacentral:rRNA from 1 species